AAACCAGCACCCCAAGUGGUCAGGAUGAUUAUUGGGCCUAAAGCAUCCGUAGCCGGCUCUGUAAGUUUUCGGUUAAAUCUGUACGCUCAACGUACAGGCUGCCGGAAAUACUGCAGGGCUAGGGAGUGGGAGAGGUAGACGGUACUCGGGAGGAAGGGGUAAAAUCCUUUGAUCUCUCGAUGACCACCUGUGGCGAAGGCGGUCUACCAGAACACGUCCGACGGUGAGGGAUGAAAGCUGGGGGAGCAAACCGGAUUAGAAACCCCAGUAGUCC
rnacentral:rRNA from 1 species